GAGUGCUCCAGAGCUACUGAGAGUAAGAGUGUGGAAAGAAAAGUGCCUUUCUUUUUCUGAGUAAUUGCAGAAAGAGCAAAUUCCUUAGAAAAUCAGAGGUCUUGGGAAGCAACAUCACUGGCGGGCACGACUGAACAGGGAGGAAGGGCCGUGAGCGUCGAGAGGACAGACUUUCACCCACAGAAACCACAGCCAGGGAGCACAGGGGUCAGGCACAGUUAUCCAGUGAACCCAGUGUCUGUUUCCCCGGAAAACAGACAAGGACACGCAUUUGCAGCAGAUCUCUACUUGAAAGAGAGAAACCUAACUGUGAAGGUACAAGAUGCCUUAGCCAUCAGGGGUGCAAGGUUUUUCCCACCUUUCAGUAAGUCUCGUGAAUCUCAGGCUGGGCUUACUCUUGCUGUGGAGUGGAAGGUGACCUUCGGCAUCUACUCCUCUACCUCUGCAGUGCUAGGAUUAUAGAAAACAAAGGCUGGCCCUGGAUGUCCCUUUAUGCUAUGUAUCUGAGGACGGCCAUUGUUGGACCAGCCUGACUCCAUCUUAAGGAUGGAAGCCAUUUUGUUACAAGUUCAUUUUAGUGAUACAAAAUUCAAGUCAAUUGUACUUUAGCCUGUUUCUGGAGUUUGACAUGCUCCCCACCCGAUGGAGUCUGACUCACAACUUGAGUAUAGCCUGAUAGGUAAGAUGCUCUACCAGAUAAUUUUAAAAUGUUCAGCCAAGUUCCUACGUGACCAAAACUCCUCUGGAAAUCCCCCAACCC